UAAUUGUGUGCCAGCAGCCGCGGUAAUACAGAGGUCUCAAGCGUUGUUCGGAAUCACUGGGCGUAAAGCGUGCGUAGGCUGUUUCGUAAGUCGUGUGUGAAAGGCGCGGGCUCAACCCGCGGACGGCACAUGAUACUGCGAGACUAGAGUAAUGGAGGGGGAACCGGAAUUCUCGGUGUAGCAGUGAAAUGCGUAGAUAUCGAGAGGAACACUCGUGGCGAAGGCGGGUUCCUGGACAUUAACUGACGCUGAGGCACGAAGGCCAGGGGAGCGAAAGGGAUUAGAUACCCCUGUAGUCCUGGCAGUAAACGGUGCACGCUUGGUGUGCGGGGAAUCGACCCCCUGCGUGCCGGAGCUAACGCGUUAAGCGUGCCGCCUGGGGAGUACGGUCGCAAGAUUAAAACU
rnacentral:rRNA from 1 species